CUUUUUGGAUUCUCCUCACCUUGGUUUGCUUUGUUUGUCUGUUUGGAUUACUUGUUGUAUUUUGAGUUUUUGGACUUUGGCUUUUUAAUUAAAACUCACCCUUUGUUUGGAUUUUGGUCUGCCUUUGUGUCUGUAUUUGGGUCAAAGGGAUCACAGAGGGCUAUAAAGGGUCAAGUGUCAGUGUGGUGAAUUGAUGUGAGAUGAUGGAGUUUCUACUGAGCAGCCUGCUGCUCACUUCUCUCUGUGCCUGCUCGUCUCACAGUGCAUCAUCAUCACUGAUCAUAACAAGUGUGAGCAAUGAUGUUUCUGUCAUGGAGGGCGAGACAGUGGACAUCACCUGCUGCUGGACAGGAGAGUUUGAAAAAGUGCGAGUAAAGUGGCUGAAAAAUCAAACAGAAAUUAAAGAUGAAAUUAUUGGUGCAACGGAUCAGACUCUGGGACUGGUGACAAAGAAGGAAAAUGACUGUUCAACUCUGACUUUUGUCAAUAUCACAAGAGAGGAUUCAGGACGAUACAACUGCAGGGUGAUUGUGGAGAUACCAGUUUUAGAUGGGGCUGAAGGAAAUGGAACAAUCAUCACAGUUCUGUCCAAUGAGAAGACAGCAGACAGCACUGAUGAUACAUCAGCUAGUGGUUAGUAUUUAACCACUCUGUUUGCUGAUGUUUAGUAUUAAAACUGUGUAACAUCAUAUGAAAUUAUGACUAAUAUGUUCCAG
rnacentral:lncRNA from 1 species